rnacentral:rRNA from 1 species
UACGUAGGAGGCAAGCGUUGUCCGGAAUUACUGGGUGUAAAGCGCGUGUAGGCGGCAGGCCAAGUCUGUGGUGAAAUCGCUCGGCUCAACUGGGCGGGGUCCAUGGAAACUGGUCAGCUGGAGGACGGUAGAGGUGAGUGGAAUUCCCGGUGUAGUGGUGAAAUGCGUAGAUAUCGGGAGGAACACCAGUGGCGAAGGCGACUACCUGGCCUGUUCUUGACGCUGAGGCGCGAAAGCUAGGGGAGCAAACGGG